UUGUUUUGUUUUGCUCAGGUCAAACACUUUGGUUUAACCUUUAUAUUCAACAACGGAGAUGGCGAUUUUGACCAAAAAAGAGGGUGGUUAUUACUCCCUAUCCCUACCCCGCCUCAUCCGGGCCAAAUCUACAAAUAUUUUUCUGUGUAAAUUGCAAUUGUAUCAAAAUUUGAUGUGAGAAGAAAAAUAGUGAGAUCACACGUACUUACACAAUUUUUUCGAAAUUUCAAAUUUCAUUUUGUCGGCGUACGUGUACGAGCCCACCAAAUUUGAGGCAACAAAGACGGGCGAUGGGCAUACCUGAAGGGAUGCUCUUAUUCCUUUAAAUUAGGGUUAAUUCUGUUCCCCUCUAUGACUCCUGAAAUGUUCAUUCAUUUCUUUAGGACCUAAUUCUGAAAAGAGAAAGAAAACUUUAGCGGGCUUUCUUUCGUUUUGGUUCAUCUUCUGCAGGACAGCUAUUCAUAAAGCCCGCCAAAGCUUAUUUUCAGUUCGAUUUUAUUGCCGAGUUAACAACUACUGUACUUUUUUAGGAUAGCUAUUACAUCUAUACCCACAGACUUCCCCCUUUCACUUUUUCGAUCUUGGAACAUACGGUUUGUCGAAUGUAAUUCUUAUUUAUUCACAUUGUUUUGACUUAAUCAGGCAUUAUUAUUUUGUAGCUUCGAGAUUUCGAUAUGAUUGCUUAUUUUUAGAAUCUGGCUGGUUUGAAUAUAAAACAAGUAGAUUAUGUGAGCCGAGUAUGGCCGGUUCAAAUGUUAAAGGGUUAAAAACAUUCCAAUUGUGACCAUCGCUUCCAUCUUUUUUUUAACCUAAAUCUCCUGUCACGCCUUAUUAUUUUCUAAAAUACAAUAGCUAAUACAGUUCGGGUUUAACACUGCAUAAAAUGAAUAGUUAUGGGUGGAGAUACCUUUGAUUACAGAUCUGCUAGACCAGAAGUGACCUUGGGCUAAACGACAGCGAUGGACUCGUGUGUGUGUGCUUAUGUACUGCUGUCCGUUGUCUUUUAUGUUGCUGUCACAGUUUCUAAAAUUUAAAAAUUAAGAGAACGAUUAUAUUUGUACACAUUACUGCUUAGAGCUUCUGAUCUGUUUUUGAAUACAAUAAUAUAACCCUUUAUCUGAUAGCUUCCCACUCUUUUUCUCUUCUACUUCCUCGUUCCAUCUUUUUCCGUUAAUCUGAUUCCCCAACCCUUUUUCUCUGUCUUGGGUUUUUUUCUACGACUUUCUCUCUCUCAACGUUAUUUAAUGUCUUUACUUUUUCAGAUCGAUCCAGCUUCUCGUGUUAAAACAUGACUUCAUAUAUCCUGUGAAAUGAAUACUGUGAUAUAGUAGAGUUGUUACUGCAGUCUUAACUUGAUAUAAUAUGGUGGAUAACUAUGCUAACCCAUACAUCUGGAUGGUUUAACUUAAUAGUUGUGUUAAUAUAGUAUAAACAUGAUGUCCAUUUUAUGAUAAGUCGAAGUUUAUGAUUUCGAUUCAUCUUCAGAUUGUAAAUAUCAGCAACACAGAACAAAUGAUAUGUUCAAUAUGCUUAGAGCAACUUUGGAAGAUGGUCUUUGAAUGUGGUGGACAUCUUUGUCAGAACCAUUUGUGUUGAGAAACUUUGUUAAUAAAAGGAUUAUACAUUGA